rnacentral:rRNA from 1 species
CCUACGGGAGGCAGCAGUGGGGAAUAUUGGACAAUGGGCGAAAGCCUGAUCCAGCCAUGCCGCGUGUGUGAAGAAGGCCUUCGGGUUGUAAAGCACUUUCAGUGGGGAAGAAAGCCUUGGGGCUAAUACCCUCGAGGAAGGACAUCACCCACAGAAGAAGCACCGGCUAACUCCGUGCCAGCAGCCGCGGUAAUACGGAGGGUGCGAGCGUUAAUCGGAAUUACUGGGCGUAAAGCGCGCGUAGGCGGUCUGAUAAGCCGGUUGUGAAAGCCCCGGGCUCAACCUGGGAACGGCAUCCGGAACUGUCAGGCUAGAGUGCAGGAGAGGAAGGUAGAAUCCCCGGUGUAGCGGGGAAAUGCGUAGAGAUCGGGAGGAAUACCAGUGGCGAAGGCGGCCUUCUGGACUGACACUGACGCGGGGGUGCGAAAGCGUGGGUAGCAAACAGGAUUAGAUCCCGGGUAGUC